ACGCUGGCGGCAGGCCUAACACAUGCAAGUCGAGCGGUAGAGAGAAGCUUGCUUCUCUUGAGAGCGGCGGACGGGUGAGUAAUGCCUAGGAAUCUGCCUGGUAGUGGGGGAUAACGUCCGGAAACGGGCGCUAAUACCGCAUACGUCCUACGGGAGAAAGCAGGGGACCUUCGGGCCUUGCGCUAUCAGAUGAGCCUAGGUCGGAUUAGCUAGUUGGUGGGGUAAUGGCUCACCAAGGCGACGAUCCGUAACUGGUCUGAGAGGAUGAUCAGUCACACUGGAACUGAGACACGGUCCAGACUCCUACGGGAGGCAGCAGUGGGGAAUAUUGGACAAUGGGCGAAAGCCUGAUCCAGCCAUGCCGCGUGUGUGAAGAGGGUCUUCGGAUUGUAAAGCACUUUAAGUUGGGAGGAAGGGCAGUAAAUUAAUACUUUGCUGUUUUGACGUUACCGACAGAAUAAGCACCGGCUAACUCUGUGCCAGCAGCCGCGGUAAUACAGAGGGUGCAAGCGUUAAUCGGAAUUACUGGGCGUAAAGCGCGCGUAGGUGGUUCGUUAAGUUGGAUGUGAAAUCCCCGGGCUCAACCUGGGAACUGCAUUCAAAACUGACGAGCUAGAGUAUGGUAGAGGGUGGUGGAAUUUCCUGUGUAGCGGUGAAAUGCGUAGAUAUAGGAAGGAACACCAGUGGCGAAGGCGACCACCUGGACUGAUACUGACACUGAGGUGCGAAAGCGUGGGGAGCAAAC
rnacentral:rRNA from 1 species